rnacentral:lncRNA from 1 species
AAGCUAUUACUUCUGAGCUCCUCUAUCCCAACAAUUUCUCCUUUAGCACCAUCACCAAAGGUUACAAAGCUGGUUGAAUAAGACUUUAUACCUGUUGGGUUUUUUGUAUGUUGGCUACAUUUUGCAAAAACAUAUUUUAGCCAAGUGUUGAGACAUAUGUGCUGACCCCAAGUGUUGUGACAAAUGUUGGUACACUUUGGAACAACACCUGUCUGUGUACCUGUGCGUGCCAGCUAGCGG